rnacentral:piRNA from 1 species
UCACACUCUUGGUAACACUUCUGCCUAUGA